rnacentral:lncRNA from 1 species
AUGGUGAAGGUCCCCACAGACCCCUGUGAGAUCUGCUCUGAAGCUAGUGCUGCCAGCAGGGAAUUUUUUGACGGCAGGAUUAUGAUCUUCAAUUUUCUUUUGGUGUCUCUUUUUAUAUUUCCACCAACUUUUUCCUUCCCAAUUUGUGAUUUUGUAUAUAUUAUAAUGGAUGUUAUUGCCCUAGGUUUUUACUGUGGCAAAUAGUCAGGGCAAAAAAUUAUAUACAACAAGCCUUUAUUUUUCAUAUUCUUUUGGAUUUUUUUUUCAUUAUAGUUAGCCUUAAUCCUUCCUUCCUGUCUGAGAUGGGAGAUAGCAAGAAUUUGUUCUGGAUCUCAUUUCCAUAAUGUUUCAAUUAGGUAUGUCUGAAUUUUAGAUAUCUGAAAGCUUUGGAAAAUAAAUAUAAUUACAUAAGUGAUGUAAAAUCGGUCUUUUAAUUUUGUUUCCUAAUCUAAGUCACUACCUGGAAAAACAGAAAAAGCAGGUCCACUCACAGAGAGGCAAGCAUUUUUCUCUUUAAAUUCACCGGAUAACUUAAAAAAAUUUCCUGGUUUGCAUGGUUUUACUCAAACUAGCCUGAAAUAUUGCACAAACUUUUGCUGAUUGUUAUACAUUUUGGAAAAUAAAAAAUAUAAACCCUGCUUCAGUGGCUGUGAUAUGUUGUUCUGUGAAUUGAAAAGUAUAGGACAAGGGUUUACAUAUGCAAGCUUUAGAAACCUUCUGAUUAUAAAGAUGAAUUUAGACUGAAAAAAUUACUAACCCAGCAUUAUGUUUACUCCUAAUGGGCUUUUAGCAAUACUUAGCCAGCUUUUUUACACACUUUAUUGAUUACACUCUGACAUAUGGAAAGCUAAGUGGUUGCCACAGUCAUUCCAGGUAGGACUUCAUCUACACCAAAUCAUUUAUGUUCAUCAAAGUGCUUAUUUAUAAUACAUCUGCACAACCAGUACAGACAAAGCUGUGAUCUUCAAUGACAAGUUAAUAGUUCAAACAAUUAAAAUGGCCAUGAAGAAACUGAGAGUGCAAAAAAUGGUGAGAUUCCCUACUCCCACAUCCCACAGGAACUACAGCUUCUCUAUAUCAGCAGUGGUUAAAGCAGAUGAUGUGGUGUGAGAAACAGACUAGAGCCUGGAGGUGAGACAGCUGCAGUUGCUCAGCUCUGCACUGGAGUUCAAGAGUCCUUUGCCCUGCAGAGUUUGGCGAGCCAUCCCAUGAGA